CUUGCCUGAUAAGUAAUAAACAACGACACCAUUGAAACAACAAACAGAGCACUCAUACACAAGUAUUUAAGCUGAAUAGCCAGAGUUGGAGAAAGAGGCUCUAACAAUCAUUUUAAAACGCGUUUAAAAGGGAGAGGUUUCCAUACCCUUACAAACAAUGUUAUAUAUCGCUCAAAGAGAACCAUAUGUGCUAGUGGUGAGCUUGGACAGCUACAAAUGAAAUCAAAGUCUGGGGCUGGGCGUAAGGGGGUGGAUUAUGAGAUCCCACAUUCAUUACAGAGAGAAACGAAUCAUUUAUUAUAACGGUGUGGAAACCUCUCCGUACCAAAGGUGUUUUAAAGCCUUGAGAGGAAACUCAAAACAGAGAGCCCAAAGAAGACAAUAUCUGUGGCUUGGCUUAAGCAGGAGCAGAGGGUGGGAAUGGGAAUGGGAAUGAGGAAGCAGACAUUAUAAUCAUAUUCAUUGCGACAGUGGAACAGCAUUGUUCAAAUCCAGAAGAAGGAUCAAGACAUGGGUUCUAAACAUUCAAUGGGUCACCCACAAAGUUUGUCCUUUUCCAACUAUCUGAACUUCUACACUAAGAGAGGUGUAAUAGUUGCCAAAACUGUAUACAUCAUUUAAAUCUUAAAGCGUAGAGAUUGAAAAUGAUUGCAAUCAAAUAAACAAAAGCUAUAAUGUAUGAUGAUGAUGAUGAUGAUUUCAAUCGUUGAUUAUACUUUGCUUAAGAGUUAAGAACGAAU